GCCAUAGAAGUUCAACUAUUAUCAUAUUACAUAAAAUUUGUUUAUCCAUAAAACGUAUUUAACCUGCAGUAAUCAUGAGUAAUCAGUUGAAUUGAUAUUAAAAAGACGAAUUUCAUAUUUAUUGUAUUUUGUACCACAUAUUUCAUUUAUGUAUGUCUACAAACGUUUAAAACAUUUAAAUGUGAAUGGUGAAUUCAAACCAUGGAGCUCAUGUAAAAAGAUUUCAUUCUGGUAUAAGUACAACGCAAGUAUGCACCCAAAAUUAUACUUUAUUAACAUAAUAUUCAGAGAAAAUACAUGAACUUGCUUUGAAAGAAAUGUAUAAGUAUAUGUGUUCAAUGAGAUAUUCUUCAAGAAUAGAAAAUAAAAAACUACUUAUAAUGGUACACAAAGUAAACGUGCGAAAAUUGUGAAAAUUACAUAUUUAAUUUAUUUUUUGAAAUGAAAGAGCUUAGUUAUCGAAAAAUAGUGUAAGUUUAAGUGGCAAGAAUACAAUAAACACUUUUCAUAUCUACAACAUUUCUCUGAAAAUUAUGUUAAUAUAGCAAUAUAUGCGUGCAUAUUUACGUUUUACGUACAACUUAUCAAGAUGAAAUCUUUCUACAUGAUCUCUUGUGUUUGAAGAUUUUCAAGUCUUUGUUGCAGACCUUGUUUAAAUGUCAUUUGUGUCUUAAAUAUUUGCACCCAUGUACAAAAUACAGUAAACUUGCAAAUUAUCUUUUCAAUUUUUACUCAAACUGUUUAUGUACAUUUUAUGUUAUGCUUCUAUCACCAUAACCCAUAACAGAUUAUACUGAUAAUAAAUAAGUAGAAGCAAAGAAACCAAAAUGGAAUCGCUUCCCCUAGCAUCUUGUUUUAAUGUGGUGGAUUUGACAUUGGUAUCAAGUAAGUAGUGCUGUUUCAGGGUCUCUUCCAAUCAAUGUUUUUUUGGGUGUUGGACCCGAAUUGAACUCUGGAGGUAUGAGUGAUUGUAUUGUGAAAAAUAGGACUGUGACCAGUAUGGACAAGAAUAAAUUAGAUGAAAAGGUAUAGAAGAAGUUUUCAUCUAUGGGCUUCCGGCUCGUUUCGUCUUCAUUAUUUACGAUCAUCAUUUUGUCUUCGGUUUCUGAAAGGAGGACGUCACCAUUUUUGCUAUUCAUAAAUAGAAACGACACCUGAAGGUAUUUAGCCCUAAAACUAUUCAAAUUUCAUUUGAUUGAGUGGAAUGCGUUUCAAUUUAGCAUUUGAUUGGUUUCAAUUAGCGUUGCUUUAAUUUUUUUUUAUGGGAAUGAGCGUGUUGGCCUCGUGCUCCAGCAUAGGUCUGUUUUGGCGUUUUGCCUGUUCACUCAUCUAAUGUUAAUUGUAAUAUAUUCUUA